rnacentral:rRNA from 1 species
AUUGAACGCUGGCGGCAGGCCUAACACAUGCCAGUCGAGCGGAUGAAGGGAGCUUGCUCCUGGAUUCAGCGGCGGACGGGUGAGUAAUGCCUAUGAAUCUGCCUGGUAGUGGGGGAUAACGUCCGGAAACGGGCGCUAAUACCGCAUACGUCCUGAGGGAGAAAGUGGGGGAUCUUCGGACCUCACGCUAUCAGAUGAGCCUAGGUCGGAUUAGCUAGUUGGUGGGGUAAAGGCCUACCAAGGCGACGAUCCGUAACUGGUCUGAGAGGAUGAUCAGUCACACUGGAACUGAGACACGGUCCAGACUCCUACGGGAGGCAGCAGUGGGGAAUAUUGGACAAUGGGCGAAAGCCUGAUCCAGCCAUGCCGCGUGUGUGAAGAAGGUCUUCGGAUUGUAAAGCACUUUAAGUUGGGAGGAAGGGCAGUAAGUUAAUACCUUGCUGUUUUGACGUUACCAACAGAAUAAGCACCGGCUAACUUCGUG